rnacentral:rRNA from 1 species
GAUGAACGCUGGCGGCGUGCCUAACACAUUCAAGUCGAACGGUGACGGGGACUUCGGUCCCCUGAUCAGUGGCGGACGGGUGAGUAACGCGUGAGCAACCUGCCUUUCAGUGGGGGAUAACACAGGGAAACUUGUGCUAAUACCGCAUAACACAUUUUAAGGGCAUCCCUUUGAUGUCAAAGAUUUAUUGCUGAAAGAUGGGCUCGCGUCCGAUUAGAUAGUUGGUGAGGUAACGGCUCACCAAGUCUACGAUCGGUAGCCGGACUGAGAGGUUGAACGGCCACAUUGGAACUGAGAUACGGUCCAGACUCCUACGGGAGGCAGCAGUGGGGAAUAUUGGGCAAUGGGCGAAAGCCUGACCCAGCGACGCCGCGUGAGGGAAGAAGGUCUUCGGAUUGUAAACCUUUGUUGACAAGGAAGAAACAAAUGACGUAACUUGUCGAGGAAGCCACGGCUAACUACGUGCCAGCAGCCGCAGUAAAAC